UACGAAGGGGGCUAGCGUUGCUCGGAAUGACUGGGCGUAAAGGGCGCGUAGGCGGUUCGUACAGUCAGACGUGAAAUUCCCGGGCUCAACCUGGGGGCUGCGUUUGAUACGUGCGGGCUUGAGUUCGGAAGAGGGUCGUGGAAUUCCCAGUGUAGAGGUGAAAUUCGUAGAUAUUGGGAAGAACACCGACGGCGAAGGCAGCUUACUGGGCCGAUACUGACGCUGAGGAGCGAAAGCGUGGGGAGCGAACAGG
rnacentral:rRNA from 1 species